rnacentral:rRNA from 1 species
CAGUUCGGAUCGCAGGCUGCAACUCGCCUGCGUGAAGUUGGAAUUGCUAGUAAUCGCGGAUCAGCAUGCCGCGGUGAAUACGUUCCCGGGCCUUGUACACACCGCCCGUCACACCAUGGGAGUUUGUAACACCCGAAGUCAGUAUCCUAACCGCGAAGGGGGGAGCUGCCGAAGGUGGGAUAAGCGACUGGGGUGAAGUCGUAACAAGGUAUC